rnacentral:lncRNA from 1 species
AUGAUCGCAAAGUGUCAGCUUCAGCACCCGAGGAGAGGACAGCUCCGCUGUGUCUGCUCCUCCGGACCUCCGGACCUCCGGACCGCGACGACAGCCACCCUGCUGCAGGCAGCCGGUGAGGCCGGCACCUCCAGCCCGACACUCCGCCCCUGCAAGUCUGGAAGAAGUCUGAACACCCGCCGACGGAGAGAUCCGCGACUGACGGUGUGCUCAAUAUGUACCAGGGGCAUUUACAGGAUGGGUGUGGUUCUUCAAACAAAAAGCCAUUACUGACAGCCUAGCACGCUCGCACAGCAGGACCUUGAUCCAGUGAUGGAC